UGAUUAGAUACCCCACUAUGCCUGGCCCUAAAUCUAGAUGCUUAUACUACUAAAGCAUCCGCCUGAGGACUACGAGCACAAACGCUUAAAACUCUAAGGACUUGGCGGUGCCCUAAACCCACCUAGAGGAGCCUGUUCUAGUA
rnacentral:rRNA from 1 species